rnacentral:rRNA from 1 species
GUGCUUAACACAUGCAAGUCGAACGAUGAAGCCUAGCUUGCUAGGUGGAUUAGUGGCGCACGGGUGAGUAAUAUAUAGAUAACGUGCCUCUUAGUCUGGGAUAGCCAUUGGAAACGAUGAUUAAUACUAGAUACUCCUUCUAACUCUAAUGUUAGUCGGGAAAGUUUUUCGCUAAGAGAUCGGUCUAUAUCCCAUCAGCUAGUUGGUAGUGUAAGAGACUACCAAGGCAAUGACGGGUAGCGGGUUUGAGAGGAUGAUCCGCCACACUGGUACUGAGACACGGACCAGACUCCUACGGGAGGCAGCAGUGAGGAAUAUUGCACAAUGGAGGAAACUCUGAUGCAGCAACGCCGCGUGGAGGAUGACGCAUUUCGGUGUGUAAACUCCUUUUAUAUGUCAAGAAAAUGACGGUAGCAUAUGAAUAAGCACCGGCUAACUCCGUGCCAGCAGCCGCGGUAAUACGGAGGGUGCAAGCGUUAUUCGGAAUCACUGGGCGUAAAGGACGCGUAGGCGGGAUGCCAAGUCUGAUGUGAAAUCCUAUGGCUUAACCAUAGAACUGCAUUGGAAACUGGUAACCUAGAGUAUGGGAGGGGGAGAUGGAAUUAGUGGUGUAGGGGUAAAAUCCGUAGAUAUCACUAGGAAUACCGAAAGCGAAGGCGAUCUCCUGGAACAAUACUGACGCUAAGGCGUGAAAGCGUGGGGAGCAAACGGGAUUAGAUACCCCGGUAGUCCACGCCCUAAACGAUGUUCACUAGUCGUCGGGAUGCUAGUCAUCUCGGUGAUGCACUUAACAGAUUAAGUGAACCGCCUGGGGAGUACGG